UUAGGAAUCAGAAAAUUCAAACUCUGGCUUCACUUUUUUUUAUUGGCUUACAGGUGGAAAAAUCAUUUUCUUUUCUGGGUCUCAGUUUUCCUGUUAAAUAGAGGCACUGACUUUUUUUGAUCAUUGACAAUGUGUCCGGUACUGCGCUGAGUAAGCCCUUCUACACAUCGUAUCACAGACUGACAACAUCCUUGGUAAAGGAAGGCUCAGAAAUCAUAAAAUUCCAAGUGGGAGUAAUUCUAAGUAGAGGGUCAGAAAAGUAUGCUUCAAUUGAAUGUGAAAACAUGCUGGUGGUCAUGUUUACAACUGUCAAGAAAGAAAAGAUCAAAAAGUCUUAAGAGGUGGGGUUGAGUCAUGAAGUUCCACAUAAGGUAAAGGGAUGUGAACAAUCUGGCAGUUCCUCAAAAUGUGUCUUGGGACAUCACAACUCUGAAGGCAGGCCCUAUGCUUUCCAGAGAGUGCCCAGGAAGAAUUGGCUUGAAUGCUGUGCCACCAUCAGUUCACCCUGAUUUCUGAGAGGAUCAUGUGGAAAUGGAGAGCAACAGCCCCUGGUGCUCACCGUGCUUGUCAAGAGCAGAUCCAGCAAGCUGUGAAGAUGCUCUGCACCCUGGUCUGGCCAAGGUCAACACCCCGAGGAGCAAAGAAGGCUUACCUUAGAUUAGACCAACCCCAAUGCUGCCAAGACUGGGAUUAUCUGAAUGGACUCUGGUUCACAGUUUUAAAUAUACUUAAGGUUUUCUGUGAUCCAAGAAAAAAAAUUACAGUUGUGCU